rnacentral:piRNA from 1 species
UAAGAGUUCCUCAGAAAGCCAGGAAAUUC